rnacentral:rRNA from 1 species
UACGUAGGGUGCAAGCGUUGUCCGGAAUUAUUGGGCGUAAAGAGCUCGUAGGCGGCUUGUCGCGUCGACUGUAAAAUCCCGCGGCUCAACUGCGGGUCUGCAGUCGAUACGGGCAGGCUAGAGUUCGGUAGGGGAGACUGGAAUUCCUGGUGUAGCGGUGAAAUGCGCAGAUAUCAGGAGGAACACCGAUGGCGAAGGCAGGUCUCUGGGCCGAUACUGACGCUGAGGAGCGAAAGCGUGGGGAGCGAACAGG